rnacentral:rRNA from 1 species
UACGUAGGGUGCAAACGUUGUCCGGAAUCAUUGGGCGUAAAGAGCGUGUAGGCGGCUCGAUAAGUCUGCUGUGAAAGUCCAGGGCUCAACCCUGGAAGGCCGGUGGAAACUGUCGGGCUAGAGUCCGGAAGAGGCGAGUGGAAUUCCCGGUGUAGCGGUGAAAUGCGCAGAUAUCGGGAGGAACACCAAUGGCGAAGGCAGCUCGCUGGGACGGUACUGACGCUGAGACGCGAAAGCGUGGGGAGCGAACAGG